UACGUAGGGGGCAAGCGUUAUCCGGAUUUACUGGGUGUAAAGGGAGCGUAGGCGGCCAGUCAAGUCAGAAGUGAAAGCCCGGGGCUUAACCCCGGGGCUGCUUUUGAAACUGUCUGGCUAGAUUGCAGGAGAGGUAAGUGGAAUUCCUAGUGUAGCGGUGAAAUGCGUAGAUAUUAGGAGGAACACCAGUGGCGAAGGCGGCUUACUGGACUGUAAAUGACGCUGAGGCUCGAAAGCGUGGGGAGCAAACAGG
rnacentral:rRNA from 1 species